AUGACGUUGAUAGGUCGGGUGUGUAAGCGUAGCGAUACGUUGAGCUAACCGAUACUAAUGAACCGUGAGGCUUAACCUUACAACGCCGAAG
rnacentral:rRNA from 2 species